CUCCCGGCCUGUGACUCAGUCCCGAGGAUCAGCUCCAGGUCACUGUUGGAAGGAUCACUUCCAUUUUGAGUAGGAUUUGAGUUUUGAAAGGUUUUUCUUCUCGUCUUAUCAUCUGGUCCUUUUCCUUGAAAGCCCCAGGGAAGAAGGCAUGCUGUGGGCUCUAGCCCUACUUCUAGCCAUCCUGCCUCCUGGCAGUCAAACAUCUUCCAGUUUGGAAGGGAGAAUGAUGUCACUCAAGAGAACAACUGGGUCCAAUGCAGUAAUUACUUGUGAUUUUGCUGAAGAAAGAAAUUUCAUCCACUGGUACCAACUCAAGGAGGGGAAGGCCCCACAACACCUUCUCUACCAUGAUUUUUACAAUUCCAAGAUUGUGAUGGACUCAGGACUCGAUCCAGUGAAAUACCAUGUGUAUGAAGGCACAGGCCAGAGAUCUAAAUUCAUAGUGCGAAAUCUGGAAGAGAGUGAUUCUGCUGAGUAUUACUGUGCUUACUGGAGUGCCUGUCACAGUGAUUCAAAUCUGCUCUGUACAGUACACGAAAUGUUACUUGUGGCUGCACAUGAGACACAAAAAAGACCAGCCUCCAUCUCACUUCCUGCUGCCGGCCUCACUGUUUGCUGA